rnacentral:misc_RNA from 1 species
GGUUCCUGGUGCACCCUAACUUGACAUCUGCCACCAAAAUGUCUGGACGGCUGCGUUCAAAAAAUACAAUAAGCACUCUAGAUAUCUGGCCGUGGAAGUAUUUGGUCCCUUGGAUGAGAGAAGAUCUAUUCGCUCGAAGGGAAGCAAGAGAAAAAAAUGGUCAUUCUGUUGUUAUAAGCACUAAUCCAUAUGAUACGAAGGAGAUGGUGAUGCCUCUACACGAGUAUAUCAACAAUCCCAUUGCUCGGGAUAUCAUUCACAACGGAGCCACAUUUCAGGUCGCAGGACUUACGAACAACUCUUAUCUGACAGAGGCACAUGACGUCCGUCACUGUGUACUGAAGUACCAGUCUCUUGGAGAUUAUGUGCUUAAGGUUGCAAAGAAGAGGUUGGACAAUAUGUUGUAUGUUGGACUCACAGAGAACCACAAAGAAUCAGCCACCAUGUUUGCAAAUGUAGUCGGUACUCAGGCAAUUUCACAGUUCACUGGAUCAACCUCACAUGAAGAUCAUACUGCUAAG